rnacentral:rRNA from 1 species
AGAGUUUGAUCCUGGCUCAGGAUUAACGCUGGCGGCGUGCCUAAUGCAUGCAAGUCGGACGCGCCCCCUUUCGGGGGGGUGGCGUGGCGGACGGGUGAGGAGCGCGUGGGCAACCUGCCCGGGGGUGGGGGGUAGCCACGGGAAACCGUGGGUAAUUCCGCAUGCGGUCGGCCCUCUAGUGGGGGGCCGAGCAAAGGGCGCUUCGGCGCUCGCCUUCGGAGGGGCCCGCGUCCGAUUAGCUAGUUGGGGGGGUAACGGCCCACCAAGGCGGUGAUCGGUAGCUGGUCUGAGAGGACGGCCAGCCACACGGGGACUGAGACACGGCCCCGACUCCUACGGGAGGCAGCAGCAAGGAAUUUUCCGCAAUGGGCGAAAGCCUGACGGAGCAACGCCGCGUGCGGGAGGACGCCUUUCGGGGUGUAAACCGCUUUUCUCGGGGACGACGACCGACGGUACCCGAGGAAGAAGGCCCGGCUAACUACGUGCCAGCAGCCGCGGUAAUACGUAGGGGCCGAGCGUUGUCCGGAAUUACUGGGCGUGAAGGCGCGCAGGCGGCCCUCUGCGCCCGGCGUGAAAGCCCCCGGCUCAACCGGGGAGCGUCGUCGGGGACGGGAGGGCUUGAGGGCGAGAGGGGCCGGUGGAAUCCCUGGUGUAGUGGUGAAAUGCGUAGAGAUCAGGGGGAACACCCGUGGCGAAGGCGGCCGGCUGGCUCGACCCUGCGCUGAGNNGCGAAGGCGUGGGGAGCGAACGGGAUUAGAUACCCCUGUAGUCC